rnacentral:lncRNA from 1 species
CCAUAUGAAUUAAAAGUUAAAAUGGAGGGUUGUACGUUAGAGGGGAAUCUCUGGGAUCAGGUGUUCUGAAGUCUGAACCUCUCAAGUACCUCAGAAAUGGGGAAAGAGAGGGAAAUUGGGAUAAAAAGGAGGUUGUGUCCUCCAAAAAUCUGGAAUUCUUUGCCAGGAGGGCACAGCCAGGGGGAUUUGGGAUCUGCUCCAGGGAACAGGGACAGGAGGAGAGGGAACGGCCUCAGGCUGGCCCAGGGCAGCUCAGGGUGGAUUUUGGAGUAUUGGAGAUUGGAUUUUGGGAACAUUUCCUGCCCAUCCCAGCAAAUUCCCACUUUGCUGCUGGUGGGAUUUACGUGUGGACCAUGAGGAGCCUGGGGAUGCUGAGUGCAACCAUUUCCUGCCCUUUUCCAGCAGGUAUCCAUGGAAUCCAGCCUGUCCUGCAGGGUCCUGGGGCAGGUGCCCAUCCCUGCCCACCUGCUCCAAGGAGCAUCAGCCCCACGCAGAUUGACCUCCCUGCUGUUGGAGUUUUCCUCUCUCUGAAGACAGAACCCAAAGGCUUCUUUGGUGAAAUCUUAAAUUUUUUAUAUAUUUGUCAUUAUUUAAGGUUUAUUAUCCCAUGGGUUAUUUGGAGAACCAUCCUUGACAGAAUUCCUGCCCCAUUCCCAGCAAGGGCUGCAUUCCAAUGGGAAUUGGAUCACAAUUCCAUGGGAAUUGGAGCUCCCAGGGUAACACAGGACUGUUCCCUCAUUUCUUCCUCCUUUGGGAGCAGAUUCUAUGUGAAUGUCCAUUCCUCUGGUUGAAAUUCCAAGGAUAUAAUUCCAAAAGGUGACUUUGGGCUGGAUUCAUCUUUUUUUAGUGCGUGAUUUAGCAAGUGCUGGAAAUUCUCCUCCGUGCUCGUGCAGCCUCCACUUCCAAAAUAUCCUGGAAAAAGCCUGGAAUGCAGUGCAGCAUCCCAGCUCUGCCAGGAGCAGGGCUGUGUGGGAAGUGUUGUGCAGAAACACAGCCACUCCUGAAUGGAGUGGGGAAGGGGAAUAAAACCCAGGAGGUUUGUGCUGCUGGAAAUGAC